rnacentral:ncRNA from 2 species
GUAGCCUUGCGGCCUUGAGGUUCCUUACGCGAGUGAGGCUAAGACGGGAAUGCGGUCCCAGAUCUGGAAAGUCCGCAGCUGCCCCCGCAACUGUAAGCGGUCAUGUUCGCUGCCGUGCCACUGCUCAACGAGCGGGAAGGCGCAGUGAAUGCCUUGAAGUUCAAGGCUCCCCGCAAGCCAGGAGACCUGCCUCUAAGCAUUCUCACUA